GUAAGGAAUAUUGGACAAUGGACGCAAGUCUGAUCCAGCCAUGCCGCGUGAAGGAUGAAUGCCCUCUGGGUUGUAAACUUCUUUUAUAGGGGAAGAAAGAUACUUUUUUUAAGGUAGUUGACGGUACCCUAUGAAUAAGCACCGGCUAACUCCGUGCCAGCAGCCACGGUAAUACGGAGGGUGCAAGCGUUAUCCGGAUUUACUGGGUUUAAAGGGUGCGUAGGCGGGCAUGUAAGUCAGUGGUGAAAUACCGGAGCUUAACUUCGGAACUGCCAUUGAUACUAUAUGUCUUGGAUAUUGUGGAGGUAAGCGGAAUAUGUCAUGUAGCGGUGAAAUGCAUAGAUAUGACAUAGAACACCGAUUGCGGAGGCAGCUUGCUACGCAAAUAUUGACGCUGAGGCACGAAAGCGUGGGGAUCAAACA
rnacentral:rRNA from 1 species